rnacentral:rRNA from 1 species
CGAAGGGGCUAGCGUUGCUCGGAAUGACUGGGCGUAAAGGGCGCGUAGGCGGCACCGACAGUCAGGCGUGAAAUUCCUGGGCUUAACCUGGGGGCUGCGUUUGAUACGUCGGAGCUAGAGGAUGGAAGAGGCUCGUGGAAUUCCCAGUGUAGAGGUGAAAUUCGUAGAUAUUGGGAAGAACACCGGUGGCGAAGGCGGCGAGCUGGUCCAUUACUGACGCUGAGGCGCGAAAAGCGUGGGGAGCAAACAGGAUU